UUAACAAAAAAUAAGUUAUUUUCUCGUUUUUUUUUUGUAUUUCUACUCCAAAAUUGAAUUUCCUCGGAAUUCUGCGUUAAAAAAGUUUAGAGAUUUUUGCCAAAAAUUCUUUCAACAAAUACAACUUUCAGUUCGCCAAACAUAAAUAAAACAAUAACAAUAAACGUGAAUGCGCGUGGUUUAACAAUUUAAUAAAAGUUUUAAGAUUUCAUUGCAUUAAUGUAAUUUAUUUAUUUGGGCGGAUUGAGCACAGGAUGGCAUUUGCCGGCUUGGAGCCGCCUUGGUGUGUAUUUUGACGUUGGUGUGGGUUGGGCGGUGGGCGUGUCGCAGAUGGUGCUUUUCGCUUGCGUUUUCUUGCAUGCAAAUUUGCGCAUUGGUAAUGCCACAAACAACUACAACACAUUUCCUACUGCGUAGCCGAAAGCAAUUUGAAUGAUUGAUUGACAAACGCGCCGCUCUGGCUUACGCCGUCAUGUCAGUCAGCCCACCAACGCGACGGCAAUUCAUAGUGUCAACUUUCGCGUGUUUCACUGAAUUUUCGCACCUUUCUUGCUCGAGAGCAAAAGUCGACAGAAUUUGUUUAGUAACAUUUUUUCCAAAAUAUUUUUUAAGAAUUCAUAUUAAUUUUAUUUUAAAUUUCGUUGAUUUGUAGUUUUGCACUUUCCCCCAAAACGAACUUGACGAAACUUUUAAAAUUUUCAAAACAUAACAAAAAAUUUUAUUUUGUUUUAAAUUUUUGCUUAAAGGCUGACUUUCGGCAUUACGACGUACACGCACGACCAAGUAAUUGUUUUGCUUGCGUUUUCAAUGAGAAACUAAACUAUUGUAAGACUCGGUGUUGCAUUUUGACUGUCGCUACCAACCAGCAGGCAUUCCAGUGCAAACGGACAUACGCACAUACGCGUGUAGUAUUUAACCAGGAGGGUUGGACAAGUGCUGCUCGUAGCAGCAGUCGUGAGAGCAGGGAGGAUUGCUAGCAGUUACCAGGAGGUAUUCACGUCUCCCUGUUGUUGUUGCUCAAGUCUGCAACUGAAUGCAUGGCAGGAUACAACAAAUCGUGGUGAGCGAGUGGCGGAGGCAGAGAGAGGCCAUACUGUGUUAGUUGAGUGCACACGUUCAUUGUAAGAGCCAUGGGGCACGGCAAGAACGCAAAAAGCAAUGUGCAUGCAACAUGCUGGCAGAAACAACAACAGUUGUAUGCAACGUACACACACACGCAUAUCUGGUUACGUGCAGACGAAGGAGAAUUCGAAAUGUCAAAUAUGCAAGAUGUAAAAUGCGCGAUACGGUCCAGCAAUCUCCUUCUAGGCACUGAUAAGAUUUUAAUAGACAGCAUUUUCGCCAUGGGAUUUUACUAAUUUUACACCUCUAACCUGCACAUAGCAGAUUUGUAAAAAAAAGCUGAAGCUUAUUGGCUUCAUUCGCAAUAUCUUACAAGACCUCGACAAAAAUCUCCUUCCGUCCAUUCCGCCGAAAUACCUCGUCAGAUGUUUUCAAGAUUUAACCUUUUAUGAGAAGCGAUGACAGGACGUAGAACAAUCUAUUACUCACCAUACUUAGUAACUCAGCAUUUAUCGGAAUAUUGCUUUUUGACCGUGACUUUUCCCGCAAUAAAUUUCCAUAAACAGUUAUAAUAAGCUGUGGAAUUGAUUUCUACGGUCUCAAUUUAACACAACAUUAGUUUUCUUCAUAUAAUAAUAAUGCAAGCAAAGAGUUUUCUUUGUACCAACAAUCGAGCAAACCGAGCCAGAAAUAAAGUCAUAUUCGAAUAGAUCGCUUUCUAGUCCACUUCUUGGAUCGACAAGUUAUCCACCUAAUAACCUGCGAAAACAGAGCUAUCUAUGUUUCUGGGAGUUCAUUGCGUACACACAUCGUUGCAAUACUCUACCAUUCAAUGUUUGCUUCCCUUUUACCUCCUUAGGGUAAAAUUUGGGAAAAUCUUUUCCUAUUUUCACCUUCAAAGCCUGUGGGCUUCCGUCAGUCAUUCGCGUCAAAAUUGGUUUAUAUACUAAUAAGUAUGUAGCUAACUUAUUACUACAUACAUAUAUCGCUGAUAUGCAUGCCCCGUCUCAUCAAUCCCAAUACUUUUUGGGAAAAAUUCACUUUUACCAUCAUCGUCCUACUUCCCCGAUUUUGCUCAGGGAGACUACCAAUUAUUGGAGGAAAUUCAUUUAUAGAUGAACACAUAUGUAUGUAUGUACAUAUUUUGAUUGUAUUUCGCCAAAAAUUAAGUUUGUUUUUCUCG